rnacentral:rRNA from 2 species
UAAUACCAGCACCCCGAGUGGUCGGGACGUUUAUUGGGCCUAAAGCAUCCGUAGCCGGUUCUACAAGUCUUCCGUUAAAUCCACCUGCUUAACAGAUGGGCUGCGGAAGAUACUAUAGAGCUAGGAGGCGGGAGAGGCAAGCGGUACUCGAUGGGUAGGGGUAAAAUCCGUUGAUCCAUUGAAGACCACCAGUGGCGAAGGCGG